rnacentral:tRNA from 1 species
UCCCUGGUGGCCUAAUGGUUAAGGAUGUGGUGUUGUCACUGCUCUGGCUUGGGUUCCAUUCCCAGCCUGGGAA